ACCAGACUCCUACGGGAGGCAGCAGUGGGGGAUAUUGCACAAUGGGGGAAACCCUGAUGCAGCGACGCCGCGUGGGCGAAGAAGUAUUUCGGUAUGUAAAGCCCUAUCAGCAGGGAAGAAGAAAUGACGGUACCUGAGUAAGAAGCACCGGCUAAAUACGUGCCAGCAGCCGCGGUAAUACGUAUGGUGCAAGCGUUAUCCGGAUUUACUGGGUGUAAAGGGAGCGUAGACGGCGAUGCAAGCCAGAUGUGAAGGCCCGGGGCUCAACCCCGGGACUGCGUUUGGAACUGUGUGGCUGGAGUGUCGGAGAGGCAGGCGGAAUUCCUAGUGUAGCGGUGAAAUGCGUAGAUAUUAGGAGGAACACCAGUGGCGAAGGCGGCCUGCUGGACGAUGACUGACGUUGAGGCUCGAAAGCGUGGGGAGCAAACAGGAUUAGAUACCCGGGUA
rnacentral:rRNA from 1 species